CUUGCCAUGUACAUCCUGAAUGUAUUGUAUAUAUAGAUCUAGUUUAAUGUGUGUUGUUUACAUUAGAAUGUUGUGUGGACCCACAUCAAGGUGGUUUAACGCAAGACAUUAAUCUGAGAUCCUCGGGAUGGGUUCUCAGAAUCACACUAAUGCUGGGCAUACCACCAGGAGACCCAAGCUUUUUCUGGGACUAUUUCCUCCACUCCUCCUCCACACCUCAGCUAUAGCACUGCUUAUCAAAGGUGGUUGCUUCCAAGAUCCUUUUGAGGCUUGCCAGCUCUUGAAAUCAAACAUUCUUGAUGAUACCGUGCAUGGGAGGCAUCAUCAUGACAGAAUCUCCAUCUUCCCACCUACUACCCUUCAAAAUGAUAGGCAUUCUGCUGUCAUUGCUGCUGCUGAUCUUAAUAAAACUGAUGAAUAUUAAA